GCCUUUUCAGCGACUGGUGCCAAGAGUCCUCGUUCACCAGCGCCGCCCCUUUAAGAGAUUUAGACUGACUGCAGACAUUUUGUAACUUUUUAAAGUGAUCUGCCGGGCAAAUAACGCCCAAUCGGAGACCUUUUCACCUGAUGUCUACUCAUCGAAUUGUUGUUUCCCCUGACGCCGGUAGGCAUUUUGGAAUCCCCGGGAUAGUUGUCUGGCGGUGACCUUUUCUCGGGGGCAAAGGGCAGUUCCCAGAAGAAAAACAGAGCUUGACCGAGCGCAAGAACCCCUCUCUGCUUCCCAGCUGUUCCCGUGGGACAUGAAAAGGAGCCCAAUCAGCUUUGUGACCACACUAGAAGGGACCUGGCUCCUCCGGAGUGGCCACGGAUUUCUGCCCCUGUGCCCAGGGGCAGGACUGAAAGCCAAUUUGCUUUGCUCAUGGGUGGCAGUUCCCCAGAGCAAAGGGCAAACAAAUCUUUGGCGGGAACGAUGAGGAUUAAGAAUACAAGUAGUCUAUGACGUCUGGCUUGGCGGCAGCCCUACCCACCCACCCGGGUCGUUUCUGCCAGUGGGAGAAGAGAAGGAUAUGGGCCUUUGUUUUUUUCUUCCCAGAGGAAGGGAAGGACGACAGCAUUUCCCUUACUAUCCAGCUGAUCCCACUAAAGAAGCAAAGCUCCUGGGAAAGAUGCUCCGGCAGGAACAAACAACUUGGCUCUCACCCUAGCCUGGAGAAAAGGUAGCAGGACCUCCCAUCUAUACCCUCAGAAAGUUGCUGGCAAAGUGAAGGAGCUAUUUAAUAAAGAUUCCUCCCAGCCCUGCUUUCCAGGACAAUCAAGGAAGGGAUGAAGAGACCAGCCUCUUGGAUUUUGCCAACCCAGUGAUUCUGGAGCCUACUACUAUCAACAUGGUAUAGAGCAAGGGUUAUGCAAGAGAGGUAGCAAUGAAGGGGCAGCCUUGGCUUUGUCUGGAAAAGGUUUGAUGAGUUCCAAAGAGAAUCCAGACAUCCCCAUACUAAGUAGCCCACCAGAUCUAAAAUUAAGGUGUUAGAAUUUCUUUCUUACUCCGGGCCUAUCUCUUCACUCUCUCAUUUACUAUUAUUGUUUUGGAAUUUUUCAGAUAUUUUUAAAGAGGUGAUAAUUUUUACUAGAAUUUGCAAUAUAAGUAACUACUUCAUAGAGUAUAUGGCGAAAUUAACCAAGCAGUUAAUUUUUUUAAAAAAUCUUGAUAUUAAUAAUUCAUAUCAGUAAAAACUCUUGGAGUCAAGUGGUCUUACUCUCUUUAGCCUUUUAAAGCUAAGAAGACCAAGGCUCCCAAUGUCUGAGUGAAGGGGAAAUGAGAGUGGGGAAGGAAUAAGUGUUUAUCAGGGGCCUACUAUGUGCCAGGCUUGUACUAAGUGCCUUACAAAUGUUUCAUUUGCUCCUCCAUCGGAUGACUUAUUCAAGGUUAUAUAGCUAUAAGUGCAAAGAUGCAAAGAUGGGACUUGAACCAUCUUCCUGAGAGUCUGUCUGCUAUUUCUUAGUCUGAAGGAUGCUGUGUGGAUAGAGCUGUAUGCUUAUUAACUAAGCUAGUUUUUGCUUUGUUUUAUUUCCAUGUAUUGACUUCUAAAUGAUUAAUUGAAGAAGGAUUAUAAGAUAAGGUAUGAACAUGCAUAAUCAUUUGCAAAUGAUUAUAAAUUUAAGCAAUGGUUUUCCCCAUUUCUUGGAUUUAGGGCCAGAGAAAAAAGCAGGCACUUGAAGAACGUACUAGGGUUUUCAAAUGUCUGAGAAUAUUGCUAAUGCAAAUUUUGUUCCUCUAACAAUCAUAUCAAGAUUUGUUAUGUGACAAACUGGAGAAAUAAAGAGUUAAUGUUUUAGGGGAUGUUUAUACCUAAGAAAAAAGUUAGGUUCACUAUAUAUUGUAUUGCCUGUAGUUUUAAUUUUUAUGCUGAUAAGUAUGUAAAGGCUGGUGUCUUGGUUACUCUAGCUAACCUGAGAUAUUUUCAACAGAACCCCUGGGUAGUACAGAAAAUCAGCAUUGAUAUAAUAAAGCAUUUGUUUUUUAAUUGCUGAUGAAAUACAUCCCUUCAAGCUAUUGUAAUUCUAUGUUAUAUCUCAGGGUUUUAAGACCCAGAAAAUAUCUCAAUAACAUUUAUAUUUAUAAAUGGUACCAAAAAGAAAAAACCAAGUCUGAUCAGAAAAAAAUUCUGCUUUCCUCUUGUGUUAGCUAUUCAAAGCAUUCCAUGGUGGUAUUUUGUCCACGCACUAAUUCAAGUCUACCCUUGAGAGACAGAGAGAAAGAGAGAGAAGAUUAAUUUUAGAGUAGUUAUAUAUGAUUGGUUCAUUGUGUUUUUGUUCUGUGGUCUGUGUGCCCAUUAAUGUAGGGGAUAUGAAUCAGCAUUGUGGUUUAGUUUAUAAGCUCCCUGGGGACAGGGUUUGGUUCUUUGUAGUUCCAUUUAUAUAUGCAAUAUCAAACUAAUUAGUGAGAAAGACUGCAAUUAUAUUAAUGAUAAAUAAAUUGCUAUAGAAUCUUGAAGGAUCAAAAUAAUCUAUGAAAGCAAAUUAAAUGGUGGAUUUAAACACUACAAGUGAGUAGUGUUAGACUCCCUGGUCCUAGUGGCCUUCCUACAGGUGGCGGUUGUAGCCUUCUUCAACCUGUUGAGUAUAUUGUACACAAGGAGCUAAAUAAUACUGGAGCCUUCUGAAAGACAAAAAAGAAAAAAAAAGUUCUCCACUUCAUGGAAAGUCUCAGGCACAAAACAGCCUUGUGAUAAGUUCCUUUGUUUUUUUUUUUUGUUUGUUUUGUUUUUUUUGUUUUGUUUUGUUUUUGCUGAGGCAGUUGGGGUUAAAUGACUUGCCCAGGGUCACACAGCUAGGUGUUAAGUGUCUGAGAUCAGAUUUGAACUCAGGUCCUUCUGACUUCAGGGCUGGUGCUCUAUCCACUGCACCACCUAGCUGCCCCAGAUGAGUUCCCUUUUGAUACUUGAAUGUAAAAUGGACUCACUUUCCAUCACUAAUUCUGCUCUAAGAUAAAUAGCAUUGGAGUAAAAUAUGUAACGUGAUAGUUGUGGAGGUAAAAGCAAUUCUCUGAAUUUUCUGGGUCUUUUUUCCACUCAUUUGGUGCAUCACAAAUUCAUAAAUUCAUCUGCCCCAUUUGUCUACUUCCUUCUACCUCAGUACCCUUAUUCCAAGUUGUGGGUCUUCCCACCAGCCUUGUAACUCAGAACAACUUUCAGUACAGCCUCAAAUGCCUUUUUAAGGAAAUACUUGGAGCUUUUUUUUUUUUAACCCAAAAUAAAGGUAGAAUCUGAGCUUAUAUGCUGACUCUUCAGUAAAAGCUCAUAUUAUGAGCAAUGGUUCUUGAAAGCAAAAAGAGCUUAAAUCUGUAUCUAUAAUGUGUUCUCUGCAGUGGGCUCCUUUCCCCUCAAAGGUCAGAGGCCCAAUGGGGGCCAUAUUUUAUCUCCUUACGCAUAGCCAUUAACAAAAUAUUGGGUUUACUGCUACCCUUCUUCCUUUUCUUCCAUAUUCAUCUCCUUCAGGGUCACUUAGUCCCUGACUUCCACAAUUAGUGACAAUUAGCAAAUCUUAUAAACUCAUUUUACUAAUGUGCUAAUGACUAGGAGGAGCCUUUCCUCCAGUUCCUAAGCCAUCUGUGCAUAGUGGCAAGGACCUUCUGGCAACACUAAAUUAUUAUAUGAUCUUUCUGUUGUGUUGUAUUUAUUACUAUUACCUAGCUUCUGUGCUAGCUCAAAGUGAUUGCAGUGGCCAAUGUGGGGGGAGACGUGACUUCCAAAUAACUAAGACAAUGCUAACGUGCCAUUGUACCCCUGCCAUAAAGUGUUGUUGGUUCCAGAUUCUUUUUGGAGAAAUAUGAAGAAAAAAAGAACCAUGAAGGAGGUGAAGAAGAUUUUGGUUGGCGAAUCAGAAAGUCCUUCAGACAUGGACAUAUUUGGGAGCUGCCUCCAUCCUGCUUCUUGUUAUCUCCAGGACUUGAAUUUUUAGAGACUGCUGAGAGACCCACUUUGUGAAAUGAUCCUCUCUUUCCUAGUUGGAACUGAGAUCCUAACUAGGUCCAAACUGAAGAGUUCAUUCACUCCUGUGUAUUUUUUGGCAUAUUCUCAUCUGUAGAAUUUCUCUAAUUUAUCUUUACUGUUUUGCUUGGAUAAAUGCAUUUACUCACUCUU